UUAUUAACACUUAAUCUGGUUGACCUGAGAAGUCGAUAUAUUGACCUCGAAUCAUUACGUUUGUAGAAACCACUGAGAGUCAAAGUGCACUACUAGGAAGAAGAAACAUCCAGUGUAAGCACAUAUGUACGUAUAUAUAUAAAUUUCAGAUGUGGUGGUUACCAAUUACCGCCCCACUUGGUACAUUGGACAACAGUGAAAGGUUCUGAAAUCAUUUACCGAAUUUGGUAUACUCGGCUUGUAUUUACUGCGAACUGCUCCUGCUCGAGCUGCCAAAACACGCACCUGUGUUCCAUAGCGGCACUUGGUACAUGAAGUACGCCAAAUGUUGAAACCGACAGCAGCCGUACUACGAUAACUGCAGAAUGCAUACAACUUGGGAUUUGGCGUCAAUUAUCGACGCUUAUGGUUUAUGUGUUGACAAGAUUCAUUAUAUAUUACAUAACUAACCGGUUCGUCCUGUAGUAUUUGAUAUGGUGUCCACGACGUUCAACUGAGCGUUUUAAGGCUUGGCAGUUACAUGGACGCGGAAAAGUAAAUAAUACCACAUAUAAAUCAAUAAAGUGGAACGAGUCCUCUAACUACAGGACGCGUUCAAUGUUUCAGGCUAUCACGGACAAUGAUGCCAAUAUUCGUUUCGUUCGUUCUUGUUGAAAUCGUUACAGACCGCAAGCGUCCCGGCGUGCCCCCUAUGGCCGUCUGUAGUGGUGCAAAGUAUUCUUCCCUCAAUUAGCUAUUUCUGAAUCAACUAGACGCCAGCGCUCCUUUUCUU